GAUGAACGCUGGCGGCGUGCCUAAUACAUGCAAGUCGAACGAACGGACGAUAAGCUUGCUUCUCUGCUGUUAGCGGCGGACGGGUGAGUAACACGUGCAUAACCUACCUCUAAGUCUGGGAUAACUUCGGGAGGCCGCAGCUAAUACCGCCUAAUAUUUUGAACCGCAUGGUUCAAAAGUGAUAGACGGUCUUGCUGUCACUUAUAGAUGGAUCCGCGUUGCAUUAGCUAGUUGGUAAGGUAACGGCUUACCAAGGCAACGAUGCAUAGCUGACCUGAGAGGGUGAUCGGCCACACUGGAACUGAGACACGGUCCAGACUCCUACGGGAGGCAGCAGUAGGGAAUCUUCGACAAUGGGCGAAAGCCUGAUGGAGCCACGCCGCGUGAGUGAUGAAGGCCUUCGGAUCGUAAAACUCUGUUAUUGGGGAAGAACAGAUGUGUAAGUAACUGUGCACAUCUUGACGGUACCUAAACAGAAAGCCACGGCUAACUACGUG
rnacentral:rRNA from 1 species